CUUGCCUUCAGGUGUCUUUGGUGUUUUUAGGUUCAUCAUGUGGCACAUCUGGUUUGUGGAGUUUGUGGAGACCCUCCAACAGGACAGCUGAUUGAUUCCCCCGAUUUGCAGGGACAAGGAUUGGAUGGAGAUUAUCCAUGACCUGUGGCUUCAAGGAGCUUUCAUCCAUUUCAGCCCCAAGGAAAUCCUCAUCUUCAGCACCCUGGCCUUUACAGCUAUGCUUCUCUUGUCCUCCUGCCCUGACCAUGCCUCCCUUCCUUCACACUGGUCAUCCCUCUCCAGCAGGAAGUAGCCCGACAAUCUUGAUGCCCUGCUUCCAACACAAGAACAAAAAGAGAGGAAUGUUGGGUGUGUGGGAGACCUUGCCUUUUGGUUUUAUUUCCCCCAUCGGGUUUCUCCCCAGGCAAAGUUUCGUUUCUGUUUCUCGAGAAGAACAACCUGUAAUCCCUUACCCCUCGCCAAAGGGCGCCAAGGUCAAAAGUUUUCUCAACCAAUCCCCGAGGGACACAGUGUCUGCUCACCCAUUCCUGAGUCACCCUGACAAUCAGCACCCUCCACGUUACCAAAGCCACCCUUCUUAAGCUGAAGCUUGCAGGCUCAUGCUCUUGCUGCUCUUCUUCUUCACCUUUUCUUCCCCUUCGGGCACCACCCCCCCAAUAAAAUCUCUUGGUUGAAUUUCCAUCUCAGGUGAGUCACUCGCCUGCCUUUCAUUUACCACCUAUGGUUGCAGUUUAUGUAUAGUGACUCAUUUAACUUCCAACAGAGAUAAACUAACAGGUCUCCCAUCACCCCCUCACAUAUGCCAAAUUCUCUUUGCUUUCUUUCCCUUGCUUCUCAUUUAACCCAAUUCGGACUUUAUUUAUUUAGGUGGUGCAGGUACAUGCUAAGCU
rnacentral:lncRNA from 1 species